rnacentral:rRNA from 1 species
UACGAAGGGGGCUAGCGUUGCUCGGAAUCACUGGGCGUAAAGGGUGCGUAGGCGGGUCUUUUAAGUCAGGGGUGAAAUCCUGGAGCUCAACUCCAGAACUGCCUUUGAUACUGAAGAUCUUGAGUUCGGGAGAGGUGAGUGGAACUGCGAGUGUAGAGGUGGAAUUCGUAGAUAUUCGCAAGAACACCAGUGGCGAAGGCGGCUCACUGGCCCGAUACUGACGCUGAUGCACGAAAGCGUGGGGAGCAAACAGG